rnacentral:tRNA from 1 species
GCAGCGAUGUCCGAGUGGUUAAGGAGUUGGACUUGAAAUCAACGGUGUUGCCCGCGCAGGUUCGUUACUGUUCGCUGCG